UGAUGCCAGGCAUUGACUUCUCACUAGCUAUGAAAGUCCUAGCUAAAGAGAAGUCAAUGCAUGACAUCUU
rfam:Pan troglodytes isolate Yerkes chimp pedigree #C0471 (Clint) chromosome 1, whole genome shotgun sequence.